GAUGAAGAACGUAGCGAAAUGCGAUAAGUAAUGUGAAUUGCAGAAUUCAGUGAAUCAUCGAAUCUCUGAACGCACCUUGCGCCCUUUGGCUAUUCCGAAGGGCAUGCCUGUUUGAGUAUCAUGAACACCUCAACUCUUCACGGCUUGCCGUGAUGAGUUUGGACUUUGGGGGUCUUGCUGGCCUACGAGCCAGCUCCUCUCAAAUGUAUUAGCUUGCCGGUGUUUGGUGGCAUCACAGGUGUGAUAACUAUCUACGCUUGUGGUUUUCCACUAGGUAACCUUCAGCAAUGGAGGUUCACCGGAGCUCACAAAUGUCUCUCCUUGCCAAGGACAGAUUUUGACCAUUUGAUCUCAAAUCAGGUAGGACUACCCGCUGAACUUAAGCAUAUCAAUAAGCGGAGGA
rnacentral:misc_RNA from 1 species